GACGAACGCUGGCGGCGUGCUUAACACAUGCAAGUCGAGCGAGCGGCGGACGGGUGAGUAAUGUAUGGGGACUGCCCGAUAGAGGGGGAUAACUACUGGAAACGGUAGCUAAUACCGCAUACUAUCGGAUAACCCAUAUGGGAUUAGCUAGUAGGUGAGGUAAUGGCUCACCUAGGCGACGAUCCCUAGCUGGUCUGAGAGGAUGAUCAGCCACACUGGGACUGAGACACGGCCCAGACUCCUACGGAGGCAGCAGUGGGGAAUAUUGCACAAUGGGCGCAAGCCUGAUGCAGCCAUGCCGCGUGUGUGAAGAAGGCCUUCGGGUUGUAAACCUCUUUCGCUAUCGAACGGGUAGGUGGAGAAGAAGCGCCGGCUAACUACGUGCCAGCAGCCGCGGUAAUAC
rnacentral:rRNA from 1 species